AGGCCUGUAGCUCAAUUGGUUAGAGCCAGCGGCUCAUAACCGCUUGGUUGGGGGUUCGAGUCCCUCCAGGCCUACCA
rnacentral:tRNA from 1 species